rnacentral:rRNA from 1 species
AUUGAACGCUGGCGGCAGGCUUAACACAUGCAAGUCGAGCGGGGUGAUGGUGCUUGCACUAUCACUUAGCGGCGGACGGGUGAGUAAUGCUUAGGAAUCUGCCUAUUAGUGGGGGACAACAUCUCGAAAGGGAUGCUAAUACCGCAUACGUCCUACGGGAGAAAGCAGGGGAUCACUUGUGACCUUGCGCUAAUAGAUGAGCCUAAGUCGGAUUAGCUAGUUGGUGGGGUAAAGGCCUACCAAGGCGACGAUCUGUAGCGGGUCUGAGAGGAUGAUCCGCCACACUGGGACUGAGACACGGCCCAGACUCCUACGGGAGGCAGCAGUGGGGAAUAUUGGACAAUGGGGGGAACCCUGAUCCAGCCAUGCCGCGUGCGUGAAGAAGGCCUUCGGGUUGUAAAGCACUUUCAGAGAUGAGGAAGUUAAGUAGGCUAAUACCCUAUUUGAUUGACGUUAGUUUCAGAAGAAGCACCGGCUAACUCUGUGCCAGCAGCCGCCGUAA